AAUUCUCAACCUCCUUGGUUUCUUCUGGGAGACCGAUGGAGGCUUGGACAUUGGAGGCCUUUUGCUGGUGUCUCUCUCUCUUGAAGGCCCAGCUCCUCUUAAAUGAAUUAGCGAGGUCCUCUUUGCCGAUCCUCGACAUGUGAUAAGAUGUUUCCGUGUCUUGGUCUCUGGCUCUGUUGCUUUUGGGACCCGCUUCUAAUCGUCUCAACCUUGCAUCGAGACAAACGUCUGAGCGUGUCUCCCUUCCCUGGGAAACACCCUCGACCUCACGAAC
rnacentral:misc_RNA from 1 species